GACGAACGCUGGCGGCGUGCUUAACACAUGCAAGUCGAACGGACAGGCCCUGCUUGCAGUGUGCUCGCGUGGCGAACGGGUGAGUAACACGUAGGUGGUCUGCCCCUCUCUUUGGGUUAAGCCUCGGAAACUGGGUCUAAUACUUGAUAGGUCCUUGCUGUAGGCGCAGUGGUGGAUAGUGUAGUUCCGGUGUGUGAUGAACUUGCGGACUAUCAGCUUGUUAGUGGGAUAUUGGCAUAGCAAGGCGUCGACGGGUAGCCGGCCCGUGAGAGUGGAGAGCCACACUGGGACUGUGAGACAGGCCAGACUACUACAGGAGGCAGCAGGGGGGAAUGCUGGACAAAGGACGGAAGCCUGAUGCAGCGAGGCCGCGUGGGGGAUGACGGCCGUCAGGUUGUAAACACAUUUCAGCCAGGAAGAAGGCUUCGGGUGACGGUAGUGAUAGAAGAAGCACCGGCUAACUACGUG
rnacentral:rRNA from 1 species